UACAGAGGGGGCAAGCGUUGUUCGGAAUUACUGGGCGUAAAGGGCGCGUAGGCGGCCUUCUAAGUCGAACGUGAAAUCCCCGGGCUCAACCCGGGAACUGCGUCCGAUACUGGAAGGCUUGAAUCCGGGAGAGGGAUGCGGAAUUCCAGGUGUAGCGGUGAAAUGCGUAGAUAUCUGGAGGAACACCGGUGGCGAAGGCGGCAUCCUGGACCGGUAUUGACGCUGAGGUGCGAAAGCGUGGGGAGCAAACAGG
rnacentral:rRNA from 1 species